UCGACCCAUUAGGCGACAGCGGAUAUUUCUACCUUCCCGAAGCACCCCGAGAGAUUAUGCAGGCAAUCUGCAACAACUACAAGGGACAGCUGUGCUCCACUUCUCUAUUUGUCACAAUGAUCAGCAGUCCGGACGAGGUUAACAAGACACGAAUGCCAGUCAUCCUGGCUCACUACCCUAUCGGAACGUCUUAUAAGAACCUUCGCCACUUUCAGCAAGUGCACAGAUCCAAAAGAUUUGCCAUGUAUGACUAUGGAAUCCUUAAAAAUUUGGAGAA
rnacentral:lncRNA from 1 species